rnacentral:rRNA from 1 species
AGUCGAACGAAGUAGCAAUACUUAGUGGCAGACGGGUGAGUAACAUGUGGGUAUCUGCCCUUUGGCCUGGAAUAACACGAGGAAACUUGUGCUAAUACCGGAUAAGUCUUUACGGAGAAAGCUUUAUGCACCAAUGGAUGAGCCUGCACUUGAUUAGUUUGUUGGUAGGGUAAUGGCCUACCAAGACUGUGAUCAAUAGCUGAUUUGAGAGGAUGAUCAGCCACAUUGGGACUGAGACACGGCCCAAACUCCUACGGGAGGCAGCAGUGGGGAAUCUUGCACAAUGGAGGAAACUCUGAUGCAGCGAUGCCGCGUGAGUGAAGAAGGCCCUUGGGUUGUAAAGCUCUUUCGUCGGGGAAGAAAAUGACUGUACCCGAAUAAGAAGGUCCGGCUAACUUCGUGCCAGCAGCCGCGGUAAUACGAAGGGACCUAGCGUAGUUCGGAAUUACUGGGCUUAAAGAGUUCGUAGGUGGUUGAAAAAGUUGGUGGUGAAAUCCCAGAGCUUAACUCUGGAACUGCCAUCAAAACUUUUCAGCUAGAGUUUGAUAGAGGAAAGCAGAAUUUCUAGUGUAGAGGUGAAAUUCGUAGAUAUUAGAAAGAAUACCAAUUGCGAAGGCAGCUUUCUGGAUCAAUACUGACACUGAGGAACGAAAGCAUGGGUAGCGAAGAGGAUUAGAUACCCCCGUAGUCCAUGCCGUAAACGAUGUGUGUUAGACGUUGGAAAUUUAUUUUCAG